AGUUCGAACCCUGGACUCCACAUGGAAAAAGGAGAGAAACAGCUCCAAAAAGUUCUCAAACAAUCUCUACCUGGGUAUUGAAGCUUAGGAUCGACGGGUUUUUAUUCUGACAAAUGAGGCCCAGGAGCAGAGAUACGAGUGACAGGCAACCAAGCUGAAGAGGAAGCUUUUGGAUCACGAAAGAAGCUUAACUUUUUUCCAAACAGUUCAGCCCUUCUUAGAUAAGCCAUCACAACACAGUCACGAGAUGGCUGCCUGAGGUCCACAAGGCUAAGUCCUCAACAGCCCAGAUCUGGCCAUCUGCUUGUAGGUGAACCACAGGGAAAAGAUAGGACCCUUUCUGUUCCGAGGUGACCAGAGCUUGCCCAGAGCUGUGAACAGCAUCCUAUAACCAUGACUGGAACAAACGAAGAAUUCUGGACAGUGGUGGCACACAUCUUUAAUCCCAGCUCUUGGGAGGCAGAGGCAGGUGAAUCUCUGAGUUUGAGGCUAGCCUGAUCUAUAGAGCUAGUUCCUGUAUAGCCAGGGCUACACAGGGAAACCCUGUCCCAAAAAACCAAAUCAAACCAAACCAAUUAAUCAAAACAAAACAGUCCCCGAAGCCAAACCAACCAACCAAAACAAAACAGCCCCCCAAAGCAAUAAAAACAACAUCAAACCAAACCAAACCAAAAAUCCUUAAAGUCAGACAAGGACCUCUUGAGAUGUCAUUUAGGUGCUGGAUUAACCAGUCCUAGAGCUGGGUAGAUCAUAUGAAAUGGCAAUCCCCUGUAGUGUUUAAGUCACCAACCAAAGCAAAAGGUGCAAUGGCAUUCCAUCUCCCCAUCUCCUGGACACUGGCUUCUUUGUUGAUCGUCUGUCAUUGAUGACCCACUGCCGAGUGGAGCUCAGCUUUGGAACUUUCAUCAGAGAUGACAGAAACUCUGGCCUCGAGUAGGCAUCUGGGUGGGAACGGAAAUGAGGCUUACUAACCUCACUCAGGAAAGCUGGAGGAGAGCCAUGGGUACCCGACAGUGAUGGCAGGAUGGAGGGGUCUGGUGUGUGAUCAUGACUUACAGACAGCAUGUCUGCACUCAAACAUUUGCUCAUCCAAGAAACGGUUUGGAAUUGACCGGAAAGGGCAGCUUGGCACGGAGACCUCAUGACAAUCAUGUGGGCACACUGGGCACCACAGUUCCCUCUCAGUCAGACUGGCAUGACAGGAGUGCGGCGUACAGACGUGGAGCCCACCGGCGGUGGGAACCUCUCUCCCGGUACAGGUUACCAUCAGUUCACAGUUUCUCAUCAGGGAACACUGCCUUGAAGCAGUGGUUCUCAAUCGAUGGGUCAUGACCCCUUCGGGGUUCAAAUGAUAUUUUCACGGGGGUCACCCAAGACCAUUGGAAAACACAGAUAUUUACAUUAAGAGUCACAAUAGUAGCGAAGUCACACAAGUAGCACUGAAAAUAAUUUUCCGGUGGAGGGGGUCACCACAACGUGAAACUGUAUUUAGGGGCGGCAGCGUUAGGAAGGCUGAGAGGAUGAAAGGAAUGGCCCUUGAAACACGGGCUUUCUUCCCCCUUUGUGCCCUGCGUUCUUGCUUCUUUGAUGAUGCCUAUCAGUAGGUUUUGCUUACCCUCCUGGCUUUUUAAAAUGAAAGCAGUUUCUACUCCAGCCUUCCCUCCCACGCACACUUUCUCACGAGCAGAUACACACUUACCAGAGCACUCCUAGACGUCUUGCAGAUCCACAUAUUUUGAGCAUGUACAUAAAACCAUUUAUAGGAGUUUAAUCCGUGAAUCAUAGACGGAAGAUUCCCAUCAGGAGCGAACAGUGGCCUCCAAAGGCUUGUGAAGUCCUCGUGGCAUCUGAAGGGAGAAAACUCAGCCCUCGGUGGGAGACUCGUGGGCUCACAGUCCAUUCUGUAUUUUAAUAUCAGAAACUCAGUUACAGCCUUUAGCCCAAGAAACAAUAAUCUGAUAGCACAUUAGCACCUUGUUUAGGGGUUGGCAUAGUUAAAAAUACUUGUUGAGCUGGUGAGAUAGCUUGGCAGGUAAAGACACACUGACUCUAAGCUUGACAACUUGAGUUCACUCCUCAGAUCCAUGCGGAAGAAGGAGAAAACCGAUUCUCCCAAGUGGCCCUCUGAGGGAAUGCCCACACAUAUACACAGCAAUAAAUAUGCAAUAUAAAUUUAGAAAUAUGUUUGCUGAGAGGAUGGGGAGAUAGCUCAGUUGGUACAGUACAUGUCAGGCAAGCGUGAAGACCUGGGUUUGAUCUCUGGCAUUCACAUGAAAACCCAGGAAUGGCUGCAUAUGUGCUCACAACUCUGGCACUGUGAGGGGCGGAGAGAGGAGGAAGGGUGUGGGAGUUUCCUGUCUCUCCCUAGCAGCCUAACUCCAGGCUCAGUGGGAGACGCAGUCUCAAGGGGAAAAAAGUAGAGGACACAGGAUAUAUUCCUCUAGCCUCCAUGCACAAACAAGGCCACAUGCGCUGGUGCAUUCAUACAUAUAUACUCCAUUUCAAUGGCUUCCUACCACACACAAGCCAGGAACUUUUAAUCCCAGAACUAGGGAGAUGGAGAAAGGAGAAUCCCUGGAGCAUGUCUGUCGACUACCCUAGACUGAUCAGCAAGCCUCAAGUCCCAGUGAGAGACACCCUGUCUCUAAGAACAAGGUGGACAGAUUCUGAGAGAAAUGCCUGGGGCUAACAUAUGGCAUAGGCAUGUGCGUGUGUGUGGUACACACACACACACACACACACACACACACACACACACGCACUUACGCACAUAUUCACACAUGCACACCCUCCCCCACAUAGGCAAACACACAAAUAGUCAGGACUGGAGUGCCACACCCUCCAGGGGGUUUUCAGGAUACAAUUUUACAAAGCAGAGCCUUAGAGAAAAUCAAUUAUUUCAGGAUAAAUCUCAAGCAUUCCAGAAUUGCCAAGCGCUAAAGCAAUCUUUAAAUUUUUUCACAGUUAAACUUCAACAGGGCCGUGGACAAUCUCCUGCAGACUGGAUGCAUUUUGGUAAAGGUUUGCCUUUAAUGUGUAACAUCGGCUCCACACGGAGAGCCUGGAGGGCUGGCCAGCACUGCCUCGCUGAGCGUCUCACACUGGCCCUUUUGCUCUCAAGUUAGUUUUACUGAAACACUAUCUUUAUGUGGGUCAGGGCUUCCUUUUUCCUUCAACACUUUUUUUUAUUUAAAAAAACAAAAACAAACAAAAAAAAAAAAAACAAAAAACAACCAACCAACAAAACCCCACUCUCUCAUUUCCAGAAAUUUCUGUACUUCUUACUUCCUGCUGGCUUACUCAGGAGCCCCUCCCCACCAGUGAAGCUGCAAGUUUCUCAAAACUGGUUAAGGUUUUGUGACUUUGCUGACUUAGGCUGAUCUUUGUUAAAUCCUUAGCUGGACAGUGGCUAGCUCCUUCCUGGCUCCUGAUGAGGAAUUUGAAUGGAUUUUAAACCGCACUGAUGAGUCUUGAGGAAUGCCUGCCCACUCUGUCCUGCUUCCUCUUUUGACCCCAGACUCGGCCCUCACUUCUGCGGAGUAGUUACCACUCCCCAUUUUGACCUGGACUUCAUCUGACUUCAUCCAGCCCAGUCAUGCCCCAAGGCACGGACUCCAUUGUUUCUAGACUCAUGCCUCAUACUAGAAACCAACCCGGAACCUCGGAAGCCAGAAGUCUGAGUUGAAAGUUCUGAUUGAGCCUUGCUCUCUCCAUCUGGAAGACAAGGAUCCAUUUACUAACAGGUCUAAAUAGACCUUGGCUAUUCUGCUCCUGUUAAGACUGAGAGAGGAUUGCAGAAUUUAUGGUCUUUUCUUUCACUUUACUGUUCAGUAACUCUAAACUUUCCCCAAUUUCCACCCCAUAUAUUUUCCCUCAGCCAUCCUGAGGCCAUAUCCUUGAGGCGAGAGCAUGUGUCACUGGCAGAGACCCUACCAUCUGGUCUACAGGGCUGUGGUGAGGAUGAACUGAGAAGCUACACUGAAGUCCCCAAGGAGGAUGGCGGUGCUUAUGAUGGCCUGCCACCUGUUCGACAGUGGACGGAGACUACCUCAAGAGUGGCUUUAGUGGCCACAGAAUACCUGAUCAGAUGCAACAGGUUAAGAAUAAAAGAAAAGUAAAGUGAAAAGGUGA